UACGAAGGGGGCUAGCGUUGUUCGGAAUUACUGGGCGUAAAGCGCACGUAGGCGGAUCGAUCAGUCAGGGGUGAAAUCCCAGGGCUCAACCCUGGAACUGCCUUUGAUACUGUCGAUCUGGAGUAUGGAAGAGGUGAGUGGAAUUCCGAGUGUAGAGGUGAAAUUCGUAGAUAUUCGGAAGAACACCAGUGGCGAAGGCGGCUGACUGGACAUGUAUUGACGCUGAGGUGCGAAAGCGUGGGGAGCAAACAGG
rnacentral:rRNA from 1 species